UGUGCAUGUGUGAUUGUGCAUAGACUGGAAAGGGGCAGAGAGAUGAGGGAUGACACGUAGCAAAGGGCAGCAGGUCAGAUUGGAACCCUGCGCCACUGCAGGACCCAGCCAACAUGGGGCAACACCCCU